rnacentral:rRNA from 1 species
AACGCUAGCUACAGGCUUAACACAUGCAAGUCGAGGGGCAUCAGGAAGAAAGCUUGCUUUCUUUGCUGGCGACCGGCGCACGGGUGAGUAACACGUAUCCAACCUGCCCUUUACUCGGGGAUAGCCUUUCGAAAGAAAGAUUAAUACCCGAUAGCAUAACGAUUCCGCAUGGUUUCAUUAUUAAAGGAUUCCGGUAAAGGAUGGGGAUGCGUUCCAUUAGGUUGUUGGUGAGGUAACGGCCCACCAAGCCUUCGAUGGAUAGGGGUUCUGAGAGGAAGGUCCCCCACAUUGGAACUGAGACACGGUCCAAACUCCUACGGGAGGCAGCAGUGAGGAAUAUUGGUCAAUGGGCGCUAGCCUGAACCAGCCAAGUAGCGUGAAGGAUGAAGGCUCUAUGGGUCGUAAACUUCUUUUAUAUAAGAAUAAAGUGCAGUAUGUAUACUGUUUUGUAUGUAUUAUAUGAAUAAGGAUCGGCUAACUCCGUGCCAGCAGCCGCGGUAAUACGGAGGAUCCGAGCGUUAUCCGGAUUUAUUGGGUUUAAAGGGAGCGUAGGUGGACUGGUAAGUCAGUUGUGAAAGUUUGCGGCUCAACCGUAAAAUUGCAGUUGAUACUGUCAGUCUUGAGUACAGUAGAGGUGGGCGGAAUUCGUGGUGUAGCGGUGAAAUGCUUAGAUAUCACGAAGAACUCCGAUUGCGAAGGCAGCUCACUGGACUGCAACUGACACUGAUGCUCGAAAGUGUGGGUAUCAAACAGGAUUAGAUACCCUGGUAGUCCACACAGUAAACGAUGAAUACUCGCUGUUUGCGAUAUACAGUAAGCGGCCAAGCGAAAGCAUUAAGUAUUCCACGUGGGGAGUACGCCGGCAACGGUGAAACUCAAAGGAAUUGACGGGGGCCCGCACAAGCGGAGGAACAUGUGGUUUAAUUCGAUGAUACGCGAGGAACCUUACCCGGGCUUAAAUUGCAGUGGAAUGAUGUGGAAACAUGUCAGUGAGCAAUCACCGCUGUGAAGGUGCUGCAUGGUUGUCGUCAGCUCGUGCCGUGAGGUGUCGGCUUAAGUGCCAUAACGAGCGCAACCCUUAUCUUUAGUUACUAACAGGUUAUGCUGAGGACUCUAGAGAGACUGCCGUCGUAAGAUGUGAGGAAGGUGGGGAUGACGUCAAAUCAGCACGGCCCUUACGUCCGGGGCUACACACGUGUUACAAUGGGGGGUACAGAAGGCAGCUAGCGGGUGACCGUAUGCUAAUCCCAAAAUCCUCUCUCAGUUCGGAUCGAAGUCUGCAACCCGACUUCGUGAAGCUGGAUUCGCUAGUAAUCGCGCAUCAGCCACGGCGCGGUGAAUACGUUCCCGGGCCUUGUACACACCGCCCGUCAAGCCAUGGGAGCCGGGGGUACCUGAAGUACGUAACCGCAAGGAUCGUCCUAGGGUAAAACUGGUGAC